rnacentral:ncRNA from 1 species
CCCGCUGAAUUUAAACAUAUUACUAAGCGGAGGAAAAGAAACUAACUAGGAUUCCCUCAGUAGCAGUACGCGAAAAGGGAGUCUAGCGCUGAAUCCUCAUCCCAUUUCCUCCGUCAGCAGUGUGCUUCGCGCUGUGAUUACAGGCCCAUGUCAGAAAAGGGAAUGGGAAUCCAGGGGUCUUGAUGUGCAAAUCGGUCGUCCGACCUGGGUAUAGGGGCGAAAGACUAAUCAAACCAUCUAGUUACCUCAGAAGUUUCCCUCAGGAUAGCUGGCACUCAGCAUACAGUUUUAGUAGGUAGCAAAUAUUGGUAGUAGCAAUAAUCCAACUAGAGCUUUGAAGACCGAAGUGGUUAAGGGUUCCAUGUAAACAGUCGAACAUGGGUAAGCCGGGCCUAUGCCAUUCGGAAGGGAAGGGUGAUGGCCUCUGUCACCCCUGUCUGACCGUAACAGAGUCGGGUACAGAUUCCCGAGCCCAGAGCAGCAGAGUUGGUGCGGUAACACAAACAAACUGAGAGAGGGGCCCAUGCCCUGGAAAACGACCCUCUACUGGCGGCGUCCUGUGAGCUCUCGUCGGCCCUUGAAAAUCCGGGGGAGAAGGUGUAAGUCUUGUGUCAGGUCAUAUCCAUAUCCCCAGCAUGUCUCCAAGGUGAACAGCCUGUGGAG